UACGUAGGGGGCAAGCGUUGUCCGGAAUCAUUGGGCGUAAAGAGCGUGUAGGCGGCUUGGUAAGUCCGCUGUGAAAGUCCAGGGCUCAACCCUGGAAUGCCGGUGGAAACUGUCAGGCUCGAGUCCGGAAGAGGCGAGUGGAAUUCCUGGUGUAGCGGUGAAAUGCGCAGAUAUCAGGAGGAACACCAAUGGCGAAGGCAAUCCCCUGGGCCUGCACUGACGCUCAUGCACGAAAGCGUGGGGAGCAAACAGG
rnacentral:rRNA from 1 species